GAACAUUAAUGACAAACAGCAGAGGGCAGCAAUACGCCAUUGUAGCGUCUAGUCUGCCUAAUCCAAAGAAGAAAAGAAGAAGAAACACCUCUGUGAUAAAGUAGCGGUGGACAGGCUGACUACAAUUGUAGAUACUGACCAGGACACAGUGUUGCCAAUGAUAUCCCCAUACACUCUGCAUUUCAGUGGACAAAAUAAGGGGAAACACCACGUGAAAAACAGAUUCAACUUUGUAAGUAAUUACAUCACAGCUACAGAGGCAGCUCAAUUAUUAGCUUGAUUGAGAAGAGACAGUCAACAACUCCACUUCAAGUAUGAGUGAGUUAACAGACUUUAACAGAGGCCAAAUAGUUGGGGCCCAACUUGCAGGUCUUUCUGUCAGAAAGACUGCCCAGUUAUGUGAUGUAUCAAGUCGAACUGUCCUCAAAGUCAUGAGUGUUUAUAACAAACACGGACAUACUGCAUCUGCAAAGAAGAACAGUAGGCACGAGCCACAGACAAAAAGGAUAAGACUGACAAAAGCUGGUGCUAAUGGAGGAGCUGCCAGUGGGAAACCAGUAUCUGACUCUGAGGUUGACACAGCAAACCCUGAUGAAGAGAGCACAAGACCUGAACCCCAGACCAAAGACAAGGAGUAAUUUGGUCUGAUAAGCUGUAUUUCAAACUUUCUAUUGCAUUUAGACGGGUUAAUGUUUGCAUAAAGCCACAGGAUGCCUUCAUUUAAACCACAAUUUUGUUCACUUUUGAAUGUUUCAAGCUUUUUUGAUUAUAUUUUAUAAGCUUCACUAACUUUAGUUCAGUUUAAACCAGUGGCAGCUAUCAUCUGUCUGUAUGGCUGCAGCUGUCAAAUGUUUUUGUCCAGCUUAUUGAUGAGGAGGGGGACACAUGGAAAAUAACACCAAAAAAUGUGGUGGAUUUUGGAUAAAGCAACACCAUUAUACCAUGUGCAUACAAUGAAACAUCAAAAAAACUUUAAUUGAUAAUUUAUCCAAAUAAGAAAUAGAACAAUGGGAACAGAGAGAAAUGUCCAUACUGCACAUUCUUAUUUUGAAAGAGUUUCCCCUCGGGAAUCAAAGUAUUUCUGAUUCUAUUUUGAAAGCAAUGAGUUUUUUCCCCUGUGUGCUGGCAUUAAGCAGUUUUUUUCAAACUGACAGUUUCCACUAAGGUCUAUGUACUGGUAUUUGUGUACGGAUUUCUGAACGAUGAGACAUUUUGUUUAGUUGAGAAGGAAUAAAGACAAAAAAACUGAAAGGGAAUAGAAAGAAUUUAGAGAGAAGUAAAGGUGUUGAAGCGGACCUGUUCAUUCAAAUUCACAAAAAUGUGCUGUAUUUUUGUCUGUGUUUGUGGAGCAAUAUUACCAAUGUAUCAAUACUGUGCAAUAAUUUCAGUAAGAGAAAAUACAUCUAUGAUCUCCUGCCA